GAGAGGUAUUAGCAGUAGAAAGAGGGAAGUGCUCAUGCCAUUAUACAGAACACUGGUGAGACCUCACUUGGAGUAUUGUACACAGUAUUGGAGACCGUAUCUUCAGAAGGAUAUUGAUACCUCAGAGAGGGUUCAGAGAAGGGCUACUAAACUGGUUCAUGGAUUGCGGGAUAAAACUUACCAGGAAAGGUUAAAGGAUCUUAACAUGUAUAGCUUGGAGGAAAGACGAGACAGGGGAUAUGAUAGAAACAUUUAAAUAUAUAAAGGGAAUCAACACAGUAAAGAAGGAGACUAUAUUUAAAAGAAGAAAAACUACCACAACAAGAGGACAUAGUCUUAAAUUAGAGGGACAAAGGUUUAAAAAUAAUAUCAGGAAGUAUUACUGAGAGGGUAGUGGAUGCAUGGAAUAGCCUUCCAGCUGAAGUGGUAGAGGUUAACACAGUAAAGGAGUUUAAGCAUGCAUGGGAUAGGCAUAAGGCUAUACUAACUAUAAGAUAAGGCUAGGGACUAAUGAAAGUUUUUAGAAAAUUGGGCAGACUAGAUGGGCCGAAUGGUUCUUAUCUGCCGUCACAUUCUAUGUUUCUAUGUUUCUAAACACACUACUGUUGUAUCCAUCUAAAAAAAAAACAAAAAAAACAACCAUCUCUUGGCCCGUCUUCCCCAUGUAAGUACCAUCCCAUAUUCUUCUCCCUUUCUCCUCACAGCUUAUGGGAUUACAUAUCUAAAACCAAUGGACACUUGUUCAACUCUAAUUCUCAACCCUCUUCAAUCUUGUCACCUCUAUUUUACUGAGACUGCAUUGUAAGUUACUAAUGACAUAACCACAGCUAAUCCAAAGGCCCCUUCUCCACAGUAAUUCUCCUAGAACUCUCUGCUGCCUUCUUUUUCCAAACUUUUUCCACCCUUGAUCUUUGUGACAUUGCCCUUCCAUGGUUCCUAUCCUAUCUCUCCCAAUAAUCCUUCAGUGUCUCCUUUUCUAGUAACACAUUUUCACCUAAUCAUGUCUCAGAUGGAAUGCCCCAAGUUUCUGUCAUUGUCCCAUUCUGUUUGCUCUUUAUAGUGUCUCUCUUAGAAAGAUUAUCAAUUCUUUUGGAUGGCACUACUACUGUUAUGGUGAUGACGCUCAAAUCAACCUCUACUCCUUUAUUUCUCUCCCACUCUCCUGGUAUACAUCAUCAGUUGUCUCUCUUCUAUCUCUGAUUGCAUGUCCCUCUGCUUUCUAAAAUGCAAUAUUUUUAAAACUGAGAUACUUAUUUUCCCUCCUUAUAAUACUAAUCACCUGCUGUUGCUCUCCCUACCAGUUGAUUGUACAUGCAUCAGUCUAUCCUUGCAAUCAUAACGAGUAUGUCACCAUAUUCUGCCAAUUUUACUUAAUAAAACAUUGCCCGCAUCUACCUUUUCAAGCAAAAUUCUACUAAGGAGCUUGUUCAUGCUCUUGUAAUUUCUCUAAUUGACUACUGUAAUUCUCUCAUAAUUGAUCUAUUCAGAAACUAUACUGGCUUUCUACAGUAAAUAAUGAUUGUGUCUGCCAGGCUUAUUCUUCUCUUCUCUCGCUCCUCUCACACAUUACCCUUCUGUCAAUCAUUACCUUGGUAUCCUGUAUCCUGUAGGAUUCAAUUUAAAAUAUGAACUCUUAUCUACAAAGCUCUCAACAAUUCUAACUCUUGCUACAUUACUUCACUAAUUCAUUGGUACCCCACAUCUUGUCCAUUCUGCUGUGUGUGUGACAUUCUCCUGUCCACUGCUCAUACCCAAAUACGAUGACAAUAUGUAAAGGCCAAUAAUAAUGAUACAUAAUAUUUUAAUCAUAUAGGAUGUAUAAAGAUUUAACUGUUUUUAGCAUCUUUCCACCAAGCCCGAGUCUGAUGUUUUUUUUCAGUUAGUGGUGGACAAAAAUAAACAGUAGAAGGGUUGGAAACCAGUCAAUAUGCAGACGUUAGCAGCUUCCAUAGANNNNNNNNNNNNNNNNNNNNNNNNNNNNNNNNNNNNNNNNNNNNNNNNNNNNNNNNNNNNNNNNNNNNNNNNNNNNNNNNNNNNNNNNNNNNNNNNNNNNAAAGUCUCACGUGUAAAACAGUACCCCCUAUGUACAAGUUUUAUGGCGUUUUGGGAAGUUACAGGUCAAAUAUAGCACGUUACAUUUGAAAUUGAAAUUCGCCAGAUUGGUUACGUUGCCUUUGGGACUUUAUAGUAGCCCAGGAAUGAAAUUUACACCCAUAAUGGCAUACCAUUUGCAAUAGUAGACAACCCAAGGUAUUGCAAAUGGGGUAUGUCCAGUCUUUUUUAGUAGCCAUUUGGUCACAAACACUGGCCAAAGUUAGCGUUAGUAUUUGUUUGUGUGUGAAAAUGCAAAAAAUGCCAAUUUUGGCCAGUGUUUGUGACUAAGUGGCUACUAAAAAAGACUGGACAUACCCUGUUUGCAAUACCUUGGGUUGUCUACUAUUGCAAAUGGUAUGCCAUCAUAGGGGUAAUUUAUAUUCUUGUGCUACUAUAGGGUCUCAAAGGCAACGUAACCAAUCUGGCGAAUUUUAAUGUGAAAAAAAAUGAAACGCAAGCCUUAUAUUUGACGCUGUAACUUUUGAAAACACCAUAAAACCUGUACAUGAGGGGUACUGUUGUACUCGGGAGACUUCACUGAACACAAAUAUUUGUGUUUCAAAACAGUAAAAAGUAUCAUAGCAAUAAUAUUGUCCGCUUAAUGCUGUUUGUGCGUGAAAAAUGCAAAAACGCCACUUUACUGGCGAUAUCAUCGUUGUAAUACAUUUUACUGUUUUGGAAGUUACCCAAUAUUUGUGUCUGCUUUGAAGUUCCCGAGUAGAACAGUACCCCCAUGUGCCAGGUUUUUAUGGUGUCUCGGAAAGUUAUAGGGUUAAAUAUAGUGCUAGCUAAAUUAAAUUCCCUUUACUUUCGCAUGGGUUGUCAUGCAGGUCCUGCUAAUUGUAAUUAAUUAAGAUACCCACUAUGUAAAAAUAUUACAUAAAUAUAUAUGUAGAAUCAAUAUAUGUAUAUAUAUACGUAUGUAUAUAUAUGUAUAUAUCUAUAUAAUUUUUUGCAAUAUUUUUAUUUAUAUAUAGGUAUAUAUAAAGUGAUAUAUACGUAUAUAUUUAUGUAUAUAGAUAUAUAUAUUAUUUCGUUCUACGUGUAUUUUGAUAUAUAUAUAUAUAUAUAUUAAUUUCUCAAAACAGUUAGAACGAAAUAACACACAUCUAUAUAUUUUUUAAUUAUUUAUUUUUAAUUAUUUUUGUAAUUUUAUUUUUUAACGUAUUUACAUUUUAAUUUUUUAUAUAAUAUAUAUAAAUAUAUAUAUAACAAUAAUUAUAUAUAUAUUUAAUCAGUAUCAGUGUACGUGUAAUUUGAUAUUAAUAUAUAUAUAUAAUUAUAUAUAUAUUAAUAGUAAAAUACACCUAGACGGUGUAUAUGUGUAUAUAUAUAUAUACUUUGAUCAUAUAUAUAUAAUAUAUAUAUAUGAUCUAAGUAUAUAUUAUUUAUUUUUUUACACUAUUUAUUUAUUUCAUUUUUAUUUUCAGCCAGCAGGGGACCACCUGUCAUUACAGGCAGCCCCCCUGCCGGCAAUACAGAAGCCAGCUAUCCCCGGCCAUGUGAUUGUGGGGUCCUCGCUAGGACCCCACUCUCACACGGCCGGGGGGCUUCCUGGAGGACGGUCGUGCCGCGGGGGGUAAGUACAGAAAGACCGGAGGGCGUACUAUUACGCCCGGCGGCGUUUAGAGCCGCCUAUUAGAGGACGUAAUAGUACGCCCUCCGGUCUUAAGGGGUUAAUAUUGUACUUGUAUAAUUACAGCUUUCGCGUGUAUUGUUUUUAUACACAUACAUACUGUAUUCCAUUCUAUUUUUUGUUGCAUGUGAUAUGGGUAUUUUAGCUAAAACAUUUCACCUUGACCACACUAUUAUUUUACUUAUUAAAUCGAAUUGAUGGAAGAUGCAGGAGUUACCUAAGAUGGCCGGAGGAGAUACUUGGUGUAAAAUGUAAUGAAUAUUAGGCACAAUAUCGAUUUUAUUUAGACUGAAUUAGAGCCACAUCAUAAAUCCUAUAUAUUUGUAAUAUUCUUAACCUCUUCCUGACAAUAUAUUAUUAGUCCCUCUUAACAUCUCUUUUCAAACUCCUAUAUGUUGAUACUGCCUUAUAUUUUACUUACUUUGGGCUCAUUUCCAAACUUGCUGGUAAAUAGCACUCACAAACUGUCUCCAUUAACAGCAGCUGGUAUUUAGUGGCAGCUGCUAUAUACUGGCUGGUCGCCAAUAAUGUCCGCUUGCAAAGAUUCCAACCAGUUGCAGAACAUCCACAUGCUGGUAAAGCACCAGAGCACAUGCUGUGUAAGUUGUCGCCAUAGCAACCACACUCUGCAUGCAAGAAGGAUCACUCUGAGAAUGUGAAUUCCCUCCCUGUAAUUAGCCUUGAUGGGAGAUAGCUACGCUGUAUAGAAAUAUAUUAAUAUGUAAUGUUUUGCUAUGUCAGAUACAUAGCUAUGUAACUUUUGAGAUAGAUUUAGGUUAUGAAAAACACUCAUUUAAAUGAAAUAUGCAAUUUACUAAUAGAAUGAUUUAAUUUUUUAAUGGUGUAUGUGUGGCCUUUUCAUUAAUUUUUUUGCUCUUUGCUAUGACUUAAAAUGCUCAGAUGUGUGCUUUAGAGAUUAAUUGUAAUGUAAUAAAGUUAACAUGUAUUAAAGCCUUCCAUUCUCUACGUUGCCCUGCAGUGGCCACCUUCCAUACUAAACUCACAUCUAAGGAAAUAUUUUUUUCUCUUUCACAUCUCUCUUUCUCAAUUUAUUUUGGACUAUGCCUCUCCUACCCUUGAGACCUUAUCCCCAGUUACUGAAUAGCAGGUGUCUGCACUAUUCCUUUACUCUCACUUCUAUUCCCUCUCGCAUUAUCAUUUCUCUUCCCUUGCCUUGUGCCAUCCUUAAAACAUAUCUUCAAUUGCUCUCUUUCUUCUCUGAUUGUCCUCACCAUCACCAGGCAUUUUGCACAGUCUGUUGCUCUGCAUAAUUCAUUUUCUGCACUUUCAGAGUGUAAUGGUGUUGUGGAGAGAGGCACUAAGACUAGUGGUGUUGUAGAGAGAGUCACUGAGGCUAGUGGUGUUGUGGAGAGAAGCACUAAGACUAGUGGUGUUGUAGAGAGAGUCACUGAGGAUAGUGGUGUUGUGGAGAGAGGCACUGAGGCUAGUGGUGUUGUGGAGAGAGGCACUGAGGCUAGUGUUGUUGUGGAGAGAGGCACUGAGACUAGUGGUGUUGUGGAGACCGGCUUGGAGACUAUGGUGAGGCCUAAUAGAAAACAGUUGUUGUUGGGUGAUUCCAUUAUAAGAGGUGUGGAGAUGGACAAUGGUGGUCUUGUGAGGUGUCUUCCCGGAGCUACUGCUCACAGAGACGUAUCUGUAAUAUUGUUAAGCAAGCAAAGCAGGAAGGGGAAUUGGAUGUACUUGUCCAUCUAGGGACAAAUGACUUGGCUUGCAAUGAGGUUUCAGAGGUUAAGGAAGUUUUUAGUGUUUUUGCCAAUGAUAUACUGCAGGUUGCUUCCACACUGUCAUUCUCUGAAGUUCUGCCUGUGCAUAACACUCAGAACAACAGGUGGAUGCGUAUUAGGGACUUUAAUUUGUGGCUUGGUGAAUGGUGCCGGGAGCAAGGAUUUGGCUUUAUUUCUCAUGGUAGCUCUGUUUGGAAUGGAGAUAAGCUGUACAAAAAAGAUGGUUUGCAUCUUUCUCAAAAGGAAACAAAUGUUCUCAGUGAGCAGUUCAGAGGUUUUGCUAGGAUGUAUUUAAACUAGGAGGGGGGGCAAAAGGGUAAUAAAACAUCAAUCCAAUUGUCCCCCAAAACAAGGACAGAAGGUGCCUGUAGCAAGUGUGUUAAAAAUGAUAAGCUUAGAGUCAUGUCUACAAAUGCUCGCAGUUUAGGGAAUAAGAUCCAUGAACUUGUGGCAAUAAUGGCAACUGAUAGUGUAGAUUUAGUCGCUGUUACUGAGACAUGGUACAAUGAGAAAAAUGACUGGGACAUAGCAAUACCAGGGUACUCUUUAUAUAGGAAAGAUAGGGAAGGCAAGAAAGGGGGAGGGGUGGCCUUGUAUGUGAAGGAUAGCAUAAAAUCUAGCCUAAUAAAAGUUAGUGAGGCAAACAUAGAGUCCGUUUGGGCUACGUUAGAAUUUGGUAAUCACACAGUAACUCGUGUAGGUGUGAUUUAUAGGCCCCCAGGACAAAUUGAAGAGUUAGAUAAUCUACUAGUUGAGGAAAUAGCUAAAAUGACAAUGAAGGGGGAAGUUAUCAUCAUGGGUGACUUUAAUCUUCCUGAUGUAAAUUGGAAAACAAAAUUAGCUACUUGUGCCAGGAGCACACAUAUUCUAAACUCCCUACUGGGUUUGUCUCUAAAACAAGUUGUUGAGGAGCCAACUCGUAAAGAGGCCAUACUAGAUUUAGUGUUAACAAAUGGAGAUUUAGUAUCAGAUGUUACUGUAGGUGAAAGUUUAGGAUCCAGUGAUCAUGAGUCAGUGUGGUUUAAUAUAAGAACAGUGACUGAGUCACACCACACAAAAACAAAAGUUUUAGACUUUAGAAAAACAGACUUUUCUAAAAUUAGAAUAUGGGUAGAGGAGUCAUUAUCAGACUGGAGCAAUUUAAAUGGAGUCCAAGAAAAAUGGGAUUAUUUAAAAGUUGCACUAUUGAAGGCAACAGAAAAUUGCAUUAGGCUUGUCAGUAAAAGCAAAAAAUUCAAGAAACCACUGUGGUACUCCGCAGAUGUGGCCAAAAUAGUUAAAAACAAAAAGUUAGCAUUUAGGAAUUAUAAAAAAACCAGAGUGAGGGAGACAAAAUGAUCUAUAAGAUUAGGCAGAAAGAGGCUAAGCAAGUUAUAAGAGCUUCCAAAUCACACACAGAAGAGAAAAUAGCACAGUCAGUAAAAAAGGGGGAUAAAACAUUUUUUAGAUACAUAAAUGAGAAAAGAAAAGUAAAACAAGGAUUAGUUAGAUUAAAAACAAAAGAAGGAAGGUAUGUAGAAGAGGAUAAAGGUCAGGCUGACUGCCUCAAUGAAUAUUUUGUUCUGUAUUUACAGAAGAAAAUGAAGGAAAGGGACCUCAGUUGAGAAAAAGGAUAAAUGAGUCAUUUAUUACACGUGAGUUUACAGAGGAAGAGGUUCUAUCUCAACUGUCAAAAGUAAAGACAAAUAAGUCAAUGGGACCUGAUGGAAUACACCCAAAGCUAUUAAAAGAGCUUAGUGGUGUACUAGCAAAACCAUUAACAGAUUUAUUUAACCAAUCAUUGUUAACAGGUGUAGUCCCAGAAGAUUGGAAGUUAGCGAAUGUUGUGCCCAUUUACAAGAAAGGUAAUAGGGAGGAGUCGGGCAACUAUAGGCCAGUAAGCCUUACUUCAGUAGUGGGGAAAGUGAUGGAAACCAUGUUAAAGGAUAGGAUUGAUGAACAUCUAAAAACACAUGGAUUUCAAGAUCAGAGACAACAUGGGUUUACUUCAGGGAGAUCAUGCCAAACUAAUCUUAUUGAUUUUUUUGAUUGGGUAACUAAAAUUAUAGAUCAGGGUGGUGCAGUAGACAUUGCUUACCUAGAUUUCAGUAAGGCUUUUGACACUGUUGCACAUAGAAGGCUUAUCAAUAAACUGCAAUCUUUAAGUUUGGAUUCCAAUAUUGUUGAAUGGGUAAGGCAGUGGCUGAGUGACAGGCAACAGAGGGUUGUAGUUAAUGGAAUAUAUUCGAAGCUUGGACUUGUCACCAGUGGGGUACCUCAGGGAUCUGUACUUGGACCCAUUCUCUUUAAUAUUUUUAUUAGUGAUAUUGCAGAAGGUCUUGAUGGUAAGGUAUGUCUUUUUGCUGAUGAUACUAAGAUAUGUAACAGGGUUGAUGUUCCAGGAGGAAUAAGCCAAAUGACAAAUGAUUUAGGUAAACUAGAAAAAUGGUCAGAAUUGUGGCAACUGACAUUUAAUGUGGAUAAGUGCAAGAUAAUGCAUCUUGGACGUAAAAACCCAAGGGCAGAGUACAGAAUAUUUGAUAAAGUCCUAACCUCAACAUAUGAGGAAAGGGAUUUAGGGGUGAUUAUUUCUGAUGACUUAAAGGUAGGCAGACAAUGUAAUAGAGCAGCAGGAAAUGCUAGCAGAAUGCUUGGUUGUAUAGGGAGAGGUAUUAGCAGUAGAAAGAGGGAAGUGCUCAUGCCAUUAUACAGAACACUGGUGAGACCUCACUUGGAGUAUUGUACACAGUAUUGGAGACCGUAUCUUCAGAAGGAUAUUGAUACCUUAGAGAGGGUUCAGAGAAGGGCUACUAAACUGGUUCAUGGAUUGCGGGAUAAAACUUACCAGGAAAGGUUAAAGGAUCUUAACAUGUAUAGCUUGG
rnacentral:lncRNA from 1 species